CGUCAUGUGUAAGGAGGUGUGGUCAGAAAGUGAGGGGUGUGUCGUCAUGUGUAAGGAGGUGUGGUCAGAAAGUGAGGGGUGUGUCGUCAUGUGUAAGGAGGUGUGGUCAGAAAGUGAGGGGUGUGUCGUCAUGUGUAAGGAGGUGUGGUCAGAGAGUGAGAGGUGUGUAGUCAUGUGUAAGGUGGUGUGGUCAGAGAGUGAGGGGUGUGCCGUCAUGUGUAAGGAGGUGUGGUCAGAAAGUGAGGGGUGUGUCGUCAUGUGUAAGGAGGUGUGGUCAGAGAGUGAGAGGUGUGUAGUCAUGUGUAAGGAGGUGUGGUCAAAGAGUGAGAGGUGUGUAGUCAUGUGUAAGGAGGUGUGGUCAGAGAGUGAGGAGUGUGUAGUCAUGUGUAAGGGGGUGUGGUCAGAGAGCGAGAGGUGUGUAGUCAUGUGUAAGGAGGUGUGGUCAGAGAGUGAGGGGUGUGUAGUCAUGUGUAAGGUGGUGUGGUCAGAGAGGGAGGGGUGUGUCGUCAUGUGUAAGGAGGUGUGGUCAGAAAGUGAGGGGUGUGUAGUCAUGUGUAAGGUGGUGUGGUCAGAGAGUGAGGGGUGUGUCGUCAUGUGUAAGGAGGUGUGGUCAGAAAGUGAGGAGUGUGUAGUCAUGUGUAAGGUGGUGUGGUCAGAGAGUGAGGGGUGUGUCGUCAUGUGUAAGGAGGUGUGGUCAGAAAGUGAGGAGUGUGUAGUCAUGUGUAAGGAGGUGUGGUCAGAGAGUGAGAGGAGUGUCGUAAUGUGUAAGGAGGUGUGGUCAGAGAGUGAGAGGUGUGUAGUCAUGUGUAAGGAUGUGUGGUCAGAGAGUGAGGGGUGUGG